GACGAACGCUGGCGGCGUGCUUAACACAUGCAAGUCGAACGGAAAGGCCCUGCUUUUGUGGGGUGCUCGAGUGGCGAACGGGUGAGUAACACGUGAGUAACCUGCCCUUGACUUUGGGAUAACUUCAGGAAACUGGGGCUAAUACCGGAUAGGAGCUCCUGCUGCAUGGUGGGGGUUGGAAAGUUUGGGCGGUUGGGGAUGGACUCGCGGCUUAUCAGCUUGUUGGUGGGGUAGUGGCUUACCAAGGCUUUGACGGGUAGCCGGCCUGAGAGGGUGACCGGCCACAUGGGGACUGAGAUACGGCCCAGACUCCUGCGGGAGGCAGGAGUGGGGAAUAUUGCACAAUGGGCGGAAGCCUGGUGCAGCAUCGCCGCGUGCUGGAUGACGGCCUUCGGGUUGUAAACCGCUUUCGCCUGUGACGAAGCGUGAGUGACGGUAAUGGGUAAAGAAGCACCGGCUAACUACGUG
rnacentral:rRNA from 1 species